AGAAGAAUGUCCUUACCAAAGUAUCAGGUGCAUGAUGAGACUAGCCAGGUAAGUUAUAAUUACCUAAUACUAGUAUUUGUUCCUAUGAAUAUGGGACUUGUGUUGUAGGUUGGUGUUAGUUUCAUGUCUCGGAUUCAGUUGUUUACUAUUCUUUCGUAUUCGUAAAGCAAAUUUGUAAGUCUUCCCAUUCUCCUCCAUCUUCUUGGAAAUAGCAUACUCUUGGAUGAGUACACCUGGUAAUCAAUCAAUUUAGUGUAUGUUUCAACCCCAUUAAUUAAUGGGCUUCUUUUAUCUUCUUUUGGCCAUUCUCCGGUUGGCAAGCAAUCCCUACAGUUUUGUGGUCAUCAAUGAUUCAAGUAUGUAUCUUCAUUAUCUUUUGCUGGUAAUUAAGUAAUGCCAUUUCUAAUUACUGUGCUGCCAUCCACUCAAGGGGUAUCUCAGCAGAGUGCAUGUAAUUAGUUCUUGGAUAUUUCCAUGUUCACUUUGAGCUUUACUUGUCCUUGAAAGAGUUGGGCUGUGUGAGCAAAGCAUGCAUAGACCCAACAGAUGUUUGCAAAUUACUAUGAUUGUUAAUAUAUUUAUGGUCGAAAAGUGGUUCAAAUUUGGCCCAGGUCAGAUUCUUUUGCCAAGUUCAGAAUCUAUUGUCAUUGAAGCAGGCUAUGAUUUUGAUUCAAUACAUUUGUGCUGAUCACCUAACUUGUUUGCGCUUCUAUUCUAAAAUUAUCUGUCUGUGUUUUCUUUUUUCAGAUGACGUCAAUAGAUGCGGCAAUAGACAGAAGAAUAUCAGAAAGCAGACUUGCAGGGCGCAUGCCUUUCUAGACCUGACUGUUUUUGCUCUGGUUGGCAGGGUGCUCUCUGAAUUGUAGGAAAUUGUUUAACUGACCAAAGUUCUGCUUCAAAAAAAAGAUUUGCUGGUUGUUCUGGAUUCAGAGGAUGGUUUUAGAUGUUGUAAUUUUUUAGGAAAAAAGUAUUUUAUGAGAGGCAUUCAUUUUACAUAGAUAGGAAUGUGAAAGAUGAGAAGCAAAUUUGUUUUCCUACAGAAUCAUUGCAACAAUGUGGGUUAGCUGGGAUAUAUAUAUAUAUAUUUAUGUAACUUGUGG
rnacentral:misc_RNA from 1 species